rnacentral:lncRNA from 1 species
AUGUUCACCUCAGUGGGGAAAAAAGUGUCUGGAGAAGAGGCUUCUAUGAUGCCCCAUGAAGGUACUUCCCUCCACACCGUGUCCAUAGGAAACCAUCCACCAGAGGCUGAGGGAAGACCAGCAAAGGUGAGUUUGGUCAUUAUUUUUUUCCCCUGCAGUAUCAAUGUGAAAACUUUUCUGUUGAAUUUGUAUACAAUUUUCGAGUUUUAAAACAGUCUCAGGUUUAUGCUUGGCAAGACUUGAUGAGAACUUGAAAACAACAGCAAAGAAGAGAACAUGGCCUGGGGGGGGUCUGUUUUCUAUUUAACCCUCCAAGCAUCUCUCCGGCCCCGCUCCACCCUGGCACGGGACUGCGGGCGUUGUGACCUCACCCCUCCAAGGCGGCAGGGUUCUCUGUGACCUGGGAACCAGAGCUGGUGUCUUCCUCUGUGGCAUUAAAUCUGCGUCCAGUUCUCAGUGCAAGCUGAGGUGUCGGUCCCACUGCUCCAUUGCGGGGAGGGUCCGAUGUGCUGCAGGAGUGGGAGCAGAGCGCAGUGCUGAGGUCUUCUGGCCUCAAGGAGCCCUAUAUCUCCGCCACUUCUGUCUACGAGGUAUCAGGGUAUCUGGCGGCUCCCUCCUGCUGAGAUGCACAGUGGAGUGAAGUCGACCAGCAGCAGAGCCGUCGUGCUCACGGAGAUGCGGUGCUGGUCCCCCCGAGGCUGGGGUGUGCGUCCAGCAUGUGACCUGGUGGCCAGCCUCCAAAAUGUUCCCACCCUAGGUGCUGCCCCUACGGUGGAUCCUGCCGGCCUGUGACAACCAACCCCACCCUGCAGAGAUGGUGGUGAGUGGCUCGGUUGCUUGGACCACUGAGACACAGCGCUCACCUGGACCACUCCCAGGGGACGUCCACCAGCGAUGUGGGAACGCCCCGAGAGCCUUCUAGAGAGGCCGUAAAGGGAGCCACGGAAGCCUGCUGACAACCAGCAGCUGCCUGCCUGGAGAGUGAGCGAGCUUCUCUGACGUGGCCCUUCUGCCCGCGGUCCAGCCCUCACAGUGGGGUAGCCUGAGCCGACAUCUGACAUCUGAGGACCCUGUGCUGGAACGGUCUGGGGUAGGUUGCUUCUCAGCUCCCAACGCCCAGCACCAGAUUACUGUCGUCAGCUCUAAGCUCUGGGGUUAACUUGUGAAGUGAGAGGUAACAGUAACUGCCGCUCUGGGGGGCACUUGGUAACCCAGCUGAUGACUGAGGUUGGC